rnacentral:rRNA from 1 species
GAUGAACGCUGGCGGCGUGCCUAAUACAUGCAAGUCGAGCGAACGGACGAGAAUCUUGCUUCUCUGAUGUUAGCGGCGGACGGGUGAGUAACACGUGGAUAACCUACCUAUAAUACUGGGAUAACUUCGGGAAACCGGAGCUAAUACCGUAUAAUAUUUUGAACCGCAUGGUUCAAAAGUGAAAUUCGGUCUUUCUGUCACUUAUAGAGGGAUCCGCGCUGCAUUAGCUAGUUGGUAAGGUAACGGCUUAGCAAGGCAACGAUGCAUAGCCGAACUGAUAGGGGGGUCGGCCACAGUAGAAGUGGGACGGGGACCAGACUACUAAGGGAGGGAGCAGUAGGGAAUGUGACGCAAUGGGCGAGAGCAUGACGGAGCAGCGGCGCGCGAGAGAUGGAGGUCUUCGGAUCGUGAAACUCUGUUACUAGGGAAGAACAUAUGUGUACGUAACUGUGGACAUAGUGACGGUAACUAGUAAGAAAGCCACGGCUAACUACGUG